CAGAGUGUAUUUUGUUAAUACAAUGGAUUGUGCAGUUAUCUGGAGAACUCAUCAACAAUGUAACUUUCCUGUUCUAAAACCAACAUUUUAUGUCUAUGUUCCUACUUCGUGUUACCAAUUCAGAGCUUUGCAUGUAUUCUUUUCCUUGCAACCUUUAAUUAUUAUGAUGUUAAUAUCAUGGGCAUUGUGUAGAUGAAAGUGAAAUAGAAUUUUGUCUAUCAGAAUGCUUUUUCUAUUAUAGUCUGAAGAUUCAGUUGAUUGCAGUUUAUAAUCCAAGUAAAUUUUUGAUUUGUUUAGGACAUAGUUCAAAGAGAUGUAUGGAUAAUUUCAUUUAUUUGAGAGGGAGAGCGAGAGAGGUCUUCAUCCAUUGGUUUACUUCCCACAUGGCCACAGUGGCCAGAGGUGAACCAUUUAGCAUUAGGCUGUCCCCUGGUAGACAACAUGCUGCUGCUUCGGAAGACCUGCUGCAUCUGCAGAAAAUUCAACCAAGUCUCCAGGGACACUGCAACUGCCAUAGAUGCUCUGGGUUUUUCAGUAUGCCUCCAGAGCCUGAAGGUAAGCGGUGUGAGCAUUUGCUCUCAGCGGAUGAUUACAUAAUGAGGGCCCAUCAAUUGAGUAUUAAGACAGAGGGCUGGGGCUGGGUUUGGGGUGGCAUUUUGAGGUUUCCCUGGGGUACAUUCAAAACUCAGACAAAAUGCAUGCACACAUGUCCCCCUGCCCCAGAAUGACCAGAGCAGGGCCGAUCGGAAACCAGGUCCCAAAAGCUGCUUCUGGGUCUGCCACGUGGGUGCAGCGGCCCAAACGCUAGGGCCAUCCUCUGCUGCUUUUCCAGAUGCAGUAUCAGGGAGCUGGAUCUGAAGUGGAGCACCCCAGGUUUCAACUGCCACCACAGUUGUUGGUGCCUUUACCUGCUACACCUCAGCGCCAACUCCAUUAGCCUUUUCACAUUCUUUAGUUUUUGAAGUUAGGGGAUUUUUAUUUUAUUUUUUUAAAUUUAUUCGUUUGAAAGGCAGAGUGUGGACCAGCGCUGUGGCUCAGCUGGC
rnacentral:lncRNA from 1 species